AAAUAUUAGUGUUGAAUGCUUGUAACAACAACGCUUGUCAGAAUGGAGCUGCCUGUGUCCAGGUUUCUGGUUCUUGUACAGCUUACACAUGUACCUGUCCAUCGUGCUAUACUGGACAAUUCUGUGAAACUUUAUUGAAUGCUUGUUCCAACCACGCUUGUCAAAACGGAGGUGCCUGUGUCCAGGUUUCUGGUUCCUGUACAGCAUACACAUGUACCUGUCCAUCAUGCUACACUGGACAAUUCUGUGAAACAUUAUUGAAUGCUUGUAACAACAAUGC